CUCGUGCGUUUUUGGUUUCUAAUGUUAAGUUUGUUUGUUCACCAAGAUUUUAAUUUUUUUUUUAUGAAUUCAUUGUCUUGGAAAACACAACACACAAAAAAGAAACUGCAACAGAGUGAAAAUUCUUUAUUCAGAGAUCAUAUAUUGAGAGACGAAUAUAAUUGUUAGUUUUUCAAGUCCUGCCUAUAAUAUUUCUCUGAAGCAUUUUCUGUACACAAGUGUUCCCCACAAGUUUCUUCAUGGGCCUCUGCCCAAGAAUACUUGGCUUCUUGAGUGCUCGUUGAUCCUCUUUAGAGGGAGGUUGCCGAGGGAGUCUCUCGCGGGACCUCUGGCCGAGAAAGUCUCCCGGGCUAUUUGUGGCCUUCUCUGCUUUGACCCUCAAACUAUGUUCUUAGCUUUUGGGCUUAACCUUGAUGCGCUUUUGUGAUUGCGCCAAUGUUAGUAUGCAUAUUAAUUGGGUACUUCAGCUCGAAACUUUCCCUCACGGUCUCCUUUGGGUCUCCCUCUAGCUCUAGGUCUGGUUUACUGAGCCUUGGUCCAUAUACACAUCAGUUGUAAAUCACACUACCCUUGCUUAUGAGACUUCAACGUGUAGUAUGUUUCGUGUAGCUGUUUAAAGAAUGUAUGUUUAUAGCAGCAGAACGUUUUAACCAAGAAUUGGGCUUGAUUAAGUCCUUAUCUUUGAUUUGAUAAUCUUCUAGGUCCGCUAGUAUAUAGUUUAAGAAGGGUAGUUAUUUGCUUUCAGGUAUAGGUCGAGCGGUCGGGCAAACGAUAUACCGGUGUCAGUCCGGUAGAUCGUGAAUUCGAUUAUCCUUCUAUGAAGUUAGGCGAAGCCUCAAACCUGCGAUUUAUCUUUCCUAUCGUAUUCAAGAACACAAGCACUGAGGAUUGCAUAAGGGCGAUCAUUGCAAGAAAGAUAGCUAUUUAAUAUUAUUAAGGUUGUCUCUUGUCUGCCCAUGGAUUCAGUAGCAGUUUGAAAGGUUGACCUAUUCGAAAAUCUCCGGAUCUAUGCUUAUUUUCAACUCCCUGAAGCAUUUCGUCGCUUACUACGCCCUUCCUCGUCUCUGGGUGAUCAGCAGCCAAUUUAACAUCAUGGAUAGUUGAGGGUCCAUACACUUACAGGCACAUCAGCUAAGGGUUCAUGAAUAUGGGAUCCAACUGAAAUGGAGCAGUAAACUCAAAACUUUUAAAGCGGCCACCUGAAACUUACCUGGCAGUUCUGCUUUCAGAGCAUAAUCAACCUCUGUUUGACACCAAUCGACAGUGCUCUUGCUGGAACUCCGAA